GAGAGAGGAGUAGGAGGAGGAGUGAGAAGCGAUCCAUUUUGAGGAGAAGAAGAUUCCAGCUUUUGGGGAUAUGUAGGGAGUAGCGAGUAGUGUGGUGGUGGUUGAAUACGACGGCGUUUCGAUGCGUCGUGCUUUGUGGCGUGGGAGGUGUACCGUGUACCUUUAGUAUACUCCACGUGGCUGGAUCUUCAUCAGUACUAGCGGUUACUCAAAUGAGAUUUUUUUUUUAUAUAUAUAUUUAAGUGUGAAAAAGAAAUGAGGCACUGGUGGGCAGUGAUACGAGACCCAGGGAAAACUAGGUUCGAUCCUUGAGCCAAACGAGUUUUACCGGUAAUUUUACACGUCGUGCCCCUACGGGUGGGUGAGUUACCGGGUUUUCCCUGAAAUUGGUGGUGGACAACUCAGGUGCAGUGGAUGCCCCAUGAGUACUCGGGAUAGAUUUGUUGGCCGUUCAAAAAACAAAAAAAAAAAGGUGUUAGUGAGUUGCCAACUAAAUCAUGCUACAAUAUUCGGAGGAAAAAGUUGUACGGAUAGCCGAUAGCAUAUAUUAUCAUUAUGGUUUUAAUUCUAGAGAUAUGAUAUUUUGGAUCCUCACUCAAAUGAAUUAAAGAGCCAGUUGAAUGAACGAGAGGCGGAGGAGCAAUCAAAUAAUUAUAUAGCUUUGUUUCAACUUGUUAUUGUUAUUAGUUGUGUCGCUUGGUGUGUGGGUCAAAUGCAUACAAUAAGUUUUUUUUUUAUUUGUAAAUGAGCGAAAGUAUCAGUGUGGGGCUAGGCCACUUGGUAGAGACUCUUGUCUCUUAAGGGGGGUCUUGGGUUCAAUCUCAAGCAAGGAGUAAUUUAGAAUUAAAUUUGGUGUAAAUUAGGAGUGAGUAAGCAUUGUCAUUCAAAAAAAAAAAAAAAAGCGGAAGUCAUGUUCGUAUAUUUGUAGCCAAUUGGAAAAAAACAAAAGAGAAUGAACAAAUUUUCAUGUC
rnacentral:lncRNA from 1 species